rnacentral:rRNA from 1 species
UAGCAAAACAAGCAAAACAAGUAUUAAAGGUCAAGCCUGCCCGGUGACCAUUUCAACGGCCGCGGUACCCUAACCGUGCAAAGGUAGCAUAAUCACUUGUCUCCUAAAUAGAGACUAGAAUGAACGGCUAAAUGAGGACUUAACUGUCUCCUUGGGGCACCCAAUGAAACUGAUCUUCUAGUACAAAAGCUAAAAUAAGCUCAUAAGACGAAAAGACCCCGUGGAGCUUUAAACACACCGAUUAUCACACACCUAGCACCACUAUUGUGCCAAUAAUAAUGUUUUCAGUUGGGGCGACUGCGGAGAAGAGUAAAACCUCCAUGAAAUCAGGCUAACCCCCAAAACAGGCACACAUGCUGACCAUUGACCCAGUAAUACUGAUCAACGAACCAAGUUACCCCGGGGAUAACAGCGCAAUCCCCCUAAAGAGUCCUUAUCAACGGGGGGGCUUACGACCUCGAUGUUGGAUCAGGGCCCCCAGGCGGCGCAGCCACUGCCAACGGUUCGUUCGUUCAACGAGUAACGCCCUACGUG